CCAAACCUGUUUUGAAGGAACACAUUUCAUACUCUACAGUUUCUAGAUCUCUGUUUACAGUCAAUAUUAGCAGAGAAUUCACAAGGAAAUCUCAACUAGUCGGUUAAGAGGAAAGGUCAGCGGGUGGGCUUCUCACAGAUUGAUAUGGGACCAGACCAGUCCUCUUCAGGAUUGUGACGUCUCCUCUCUGAGAGUUAUAAUGAGUUAUCAUCAGGGGGCUGAGGGUGGUGACAUCCCUAAAGAAAGACAGAAGGAUGGGUCACCAAACAAGGAUCUUAAUGUGACCAUGGACCCUGAUAUGAGGGGCCCUCCAGAGAGAGCAGAGUCUAUUUCCUCUGGUUUUCUAUCAAUGAAGACUGACAAAUCCAUGGAUAUCCCUGUUCAUUUCAAAGGAGCAGACUCUCUACAAAAC